CACCCUUGUGGUGUGUGGUUGGUGGUGAUGCGUGGGGCCUGAGUUGUUGUAGGUAAGUGAUGGGGUGACGCAGAGUGGUAGCCACGCCAGUUAUUGGAUUCUGGUGCAAGCGUGCAGCACGACAACUUGGUAAAUCCGGUUGUCUUUUAUGUGUCAGGCGUGAUGCGUAGCCCAUAUGUGGGUGAUGGUGGUGAUCCUGUGCUGCCGAGAAAAGCCUCUAGCGAUGUGUGUAGACGGCCCGUACCCGAAACCGACACAGGUAGUCAGGUAGAGCAUACUAAGGCGAGCGGGUGAACUGUGGUUAAGGAACUCGGCAAAAUGCCCCCGUAACUUCGGGAGAAGGGGGACCUAGACUGGUUACACAAUCAUGCGUUGUGUCAGCUGGUGUAGGUCGCAGAGAAGAGAGGGGAGCGACUGUUUAUCAAAAACACAGGUCCGUGCGAAGACAUGUAAGUUGAUGUAUACGGACUGACGCCUGCCCGGUGCUGGAAGGUUAAGAGGACCUGUUAGAUCCUUUUUUGGGUCGAAGCGGAGAAUUUAAGCCCCAGUAAACGGCGGUGGUAACUAUAACCAUCCUAAGGUAGCGAAAUUCCUUGUCGGGUAAGUUCCGACCUGCACGAAUGGCGUAACGACUCCCCUGCUGUCUCAACCACAGGCCCGGUGAAAUUGCAGUACGAGUAAAGAUGCUCGUUUCGCGCGGCAGGACGAAAAGACCCCGGGACCUUCACUACAGCUUGGUAUUGGUAUUCGGUGCGGUUUGUGUAGGAUAGGUGGGAGACGUUGAUGCAGCUACGCCAGUGGUUGUGGAGUCGUUGUUGAAAUACCACUCUGACCGUAGUGGAUACCUGAACCUUGGCCCAUGAUCUGGGUUGGGGACAGUGCCUGGUGGGUAGUUUAACUGGGGCGGUUGCCUCCCAAAAUGUAACGGAGGCGCCCAAAGGUUCCCUCAGCCUGGUUGGCAAUCAGGUGUGUAGAGUGUAAGUGCACAAGGGAGCUUGACUGCGAGACUGACUAGUCGAGCAGGGACGAAAGUCGGGACUAGUGAUCCGGCACCUACUUGUGGAUGUGGUGUCGCUCAACGGAUAAAAGGUACCCCGGGGAUAACAGGCUGAUCUUCCCCAAGAGUCCAUAUCGACGGGAUGGUUUGGCACCUCGAUGUCGGCUCGUCGCAUCCUGGGGCUGGAGUAGGUCCCAAGGG
rnacentral:rRNA from 1 species